rnacentral:rRNA from 1 species
AUUGAACGCUGGCGGCAGGCCUAACACAUGCAAGUCGAACGGCAGCACAGAAGAGCUUGCUCUUUGGGUGGCGAGUGGCGGACGGGUGAGUAAUGUCUGGGAAACUGCCCGAUGGAGGGGGAUAACUACUGGAAACGGUAGCUAAUACCGCAUAACGUCGCGAGACCAAAGGGGGGGACCUUCGGGCCUCACACCAUCGGAUGUGACCAGAUGGGAUUAGCUAGUAGGUGGGGUAAUGGCUCACCUAGGCGACGAUACCUAGCUGGUCUGAGAGGAUGACCAGCCACACUGGAACUGAGACACGGUCCAGACUCCUACGGGAGGCAGCAGUGGGGAAUAUUGCACAAUGGGCGCAAGCCUGAUGCAGCCAUGCCGCGUGUAUGAAGAAGGCCUUCGGGUUGUAAAGUACUUUCAGCGGGGAGGAAGGCGGUGAGGUUAAUAACCUCGCCGAUUGACGUUACCCGCAGAAGAAGCACCGGCUAACUCCGUGCCAGCCGCCGCCGUAA